rnacentral:rRNA from 1 species
GUAACCCACCCACAGAUUGCCACACCACCUGCAAUCCGCCAGAAGACUACAAGUGAAAACUUUAAACUCUAAAGGACUUGGCGGUGUCCCACCCAUACUAGAGGAGCCUGUCCUAUAAUCGACACCCCACGCUCUACCUUACCCCCCCUAGCCACCCAACCUAUAUACCGCCGUCGCCAGCUCACACUGUGAAUGCACCACCGUAAGCUAAAUCAUCAACCAUUGAAACGACAGGUCAAGGUGUAGUUCAUGGGGGGGCCAGUGAUGGGCUACAUUUUCUUCACUAGAAAAUACCACCCGCACCGUGAAAUCUCUGCCCACAGGUGGAUUUAGAAGUAAGCCCUGACAAGAUAUGUCAACCUGAACAAGCCCUGGGACGA